AGCGAACGCUGGCGGCAGGCCUAACACAUGCAAGUCGAGCGAACCUUUCGGGGUUAGUGGCGGACGGGUGAGUAACACGUGGGAACGUGCCUUUAGGUUCGGAAUAACUCAGGGAAACUUGUGCUAAUACCGAAUGUGCCCUUCGGGGGAAAGAUUUAUCGCCUUUAGAGCGGCCCGCGUCUGAUUAGCUAGUUGGUUGAGGUAAUGGCUCACCAAGGCGACGAUCAGUAGCUGGUCUGAGAGGAUGAUCAGCCACAUUGGGACUGAGACACGGCCCAAAAGCCGGGGGGAGAGGGAGGUGGGGGAUAUGACACGAUGGGCGAAAGCGUGACGCAGCGUAGUGGGAGUCAUGAGGAGGGUAUUAGGUUUGUAAAUUUUUUUCGCGGGGAACAAACAUGGCGGUAGCCGGGGAGGACGCCCCGGCCAACUUCGUGACAGCAGCCGGGUUAAUAGGGGAAGACAACUCGUCGAAC
rnacentral:rRNA from 1 species